GCGCCGGUAGUUCAUCGGUAGAAUGUGAGCUUCCCAAGCUUGAGAGGCGGGUUCGACGAAGUUCCGCCCAAGCGGAACGUAGAUGGGGCGAUCCAGAGGAUCGAUCUCGAAGGGAUUUCGCUUUAGCGGAACCACUCCCGCUCGGCGCACCA
rnacentral:tRNA from 1 species